GUAACUCUCUCUCCUUUUUCCCCCGAGCUCUCUCUUCCCUUCGGCCUCCCUUCGAUUUUCCAGUCGAUCUCCUCCUUCCGACCACCCAACAACGAACUCCGGAUGUGGGGCGACGCUCCUCCUCCUUCUUUUCACGUUUUGGGUUGUGAGUCACCGUGAUUUGGCCGGAGGAGAACAAAUCGAAGCCCAGAAGUCACUGCUGCAGAUUUUCCUCUUCGCCGAUUUCUUUCAAUUUCGACUACCUUCGGCCACAAAACCGGUCAUUCUAGAAUACCCACUCCUCAUAGAUGAGUUCCUUCGAGUUUCACGAUCCAAUUUGAGGUGUGGGAGGAGAAUCGAAGAUUUGAAGUAUCUGUCACUGUUCAUCUCGGUGUUCUUCAGAAUUUUGCUCCGAUUCCGGCAAUUCCAGGACGAGAGGAGUCUUCAUACGAGGAGGAUACCGAGCGACGUCAGGAUUGACCAUAUACUUUUACAGUAUUGCUGCUCGGCGUUCAGGAGUGAGCCAUAGUGACCGCAUCCGCUUCCGUCAUCACAUUUCGUAGGUUACCUGUUUAACCUACUGUACUCUAUGUUAAUUUACGUUCCUAGAUUUGCUCUGAUUACUAUGAGAUUUGUGACCCAGACUUGUAAUGAAUUAUAUUUGAGGUCUACGACCUAACUUUGUGAAUUGUAGUAUCCUAGAUCUUGGAGUUUCUUAGA